GCGAACGGGUGAGUAACACGUGGGCAAUCUGCCCUGCACUUCGGGAUAAGCCUGGGAAAGUGGGUCUAAUACCGGAUAGGACCUCAAGACGCAUGUCUUCUGGUGGAAAGCUUUUGCGGUGUGGGAUGGGCCCGCGGCCUAUCAGCUUGUUGGUGGGGUGACGGCCUACCAAGGCGACGACGGGUAGCCGGCCUGAGAGGGUGUCCGGCCACACUGGGACUGAGAUACGGCCCAGACUCCUACGGGAGGCAGCAGUGGGGAAUAUUGCACAAUGGGCGCAAGCCUGAUGCAGCGACGCCGCGUGGGGGAUGACGGCCUUCGGGUUGUAAACCUCUUUCACCAUCGACGAAGGUCCGGGUUUUCUCGGAUUGACGGUAGGUGGAGAAGAAGCACCGGCCAACUACGUGCCAGCAGCCGCGGUAAUACGUAGGGUGCGAGCGUUGUCCGGAAUUACUGGGCGUAAAGAGCUCGUAGGUGGUUUGUCGCGUUGUUCGUGAAAUCUCACGGCUUAACUGUGAGCGUGCGGGCGAUACGGGCAGACUAGAGUACUGCAGGGGAGACUGGAAUUCCUGGUGUAGCGGUGGAAUGCGCAGAUAUCAGGAGGAACACCGGUGGCGAAGGCGGGUCUCUGGGCAGUAACUGACGCUGAGGAGCGAAAGCGUGGGGAGCGAACAGGAUUAGAUACCCUGGUAGUCCACGCCGUAAACGGUGGGUACUAGGUGUGGGUUUCCUUCCCUUGGGAUCCGUGCCGUAGCUAACGCAUUAAGU
rnacentral:rRNA from 1 species